rnacentral:rRNA from 1 species
UACGGAGGAUGCAAGCGUUAUCCGGAAUGAUUGGGCGUAAAGCGUCCGCAGGUGGCUGUGUAAGUCUGCUGUUAAAGAGUCAUGCUCAACAUGAUAAGAGCAGUGGAAACUACACGGCUAGAGUGCGUUCGGGGCAGAGGGAAUUCCUGGUGUAGCGGUGAAAUGCGUAGAGAUCAGGAAGAACACCGGUGGCGAAAGCAGCUCUCUGGGACGGUACUGACGCUAGACGCGAAAGCGUGGGGAGCGAACAGG